UUUUGUUUGCCAUCGAUUGACAAUUCCAAAAAUAGUACUCACCUAAAUAUUGCAUUACAGUUACUCAAAUGGGAGUACUCACUUAAAUAUUGCAUUUCAAUAACUCCAACUUAGUAACAUUAGUUCAAUUUUACAAAUAAACUUACAAACUAACACUUAACUUAUGCAUGCUUACGUAUCGUCGGCUUAGCUUUUCCUUAUAAGCUAGAGAUAUUGCACAUACAUAUGUAUGUAACAUAUGUAUGUACCUUUGCUAGCAUAAGUGCUCAUUAGAAUUUUGCCACUUUGUUUUGUAACUCUUUUGCUUGAAUGUACUUACAGUGGGGAGCAAAACCGAGAACAUAUUUGCUUUCUUGAGGUAUUAGCAUUGAUUUUCAUGAUACAAUUUUUUCGAUAGGUUUUUUGAAAGUUUGAUGUUGACUCUUUAUUAUACUAGCAUUGAAUGGACUAUAAAACUGCAUACCCAAAAAUAUUAUAAAUGCUCUUAUUAAAGUCUUUGAAAUUUGUACGAAAAUUUUAAAAUUGUAUCGUGAAAAAAAAUGCUAAUGUCUCAAAAAGGCAAACAUGCGUUCCUUUCUGCUCCCCAGUGUGCAUUUGAACAUUCACACAAACAUAUGUACUACAUAAUAACUAACUCGCUUUACUACUGAGCUCCGUUGCAAUUUUAAGAGUGCCAAAUUAAGUAGCAAGACACCAAGAAAUCACGUUUUAAUUCAUAAAGAAGGGUGUGAGUUUAACUAGCAAAAGGAAAACAUUAAUUGUGAACUAUUGUACUUGUCUAAAUGUCUGUUCAUGUUUUCGAAACCGAUUUUUCUGCAGACGACAGUAUUGAAGAUCUGGACUUUAAUACUACUGGAAGUAAACGAAAGAGCUCAUUAAGUGCGAAAUCAGGACCGGCCCUAAAAAAAGUCCGUGUGAAUUCACAAAAAAUUAUUUUCAAAGAAGAAUUUUACACAGAAGUGGAAAAAGUUAGUUUUAAAGUUUUUAAAUUAAAGCACACUAUGAAUUUAUAAUUUUUAUUGUUAGAUUUCCGACAAGACAACCUGUGCUAAGUGCGUUGCAUGUCAUCGAGUGAUUAGAGGAAGCGGUGAAGUGACUUCAAAUUUCAUCAAACAUUUGCAAGUCAAGCAUAGUGAAUGUUUUAAAACAUACAAAAGUUAUAAAACAGGUAGCCCUUUUGGCGGUAACAUGCAAUCUGAGUUCGAUGGUAAACUGUUACAUGCAAUGAUUGAUUGUUCAUUGCCCCUUUCCAUUCUGGAAAAAAAAUCCUUUAUAGAUCUUUUUCAAAGUACAGAUAUGAAGGUGAUGUGUCAGAAUGUUUUCAAUGCAAAUUUUUCAAAACGAAAUGUAAAUAUAAAAUGAUGAGCUUUAAAAUUUUUUUAAAAAUAAUCGAAAAUAAUCAAAAAUAAUCCUUGAAAGUAGCCAAUUACUUUUUUGAUUACUUUUGAUUAUUUUUGAUUGUUUUCUCGUAAUCCUAACUAAUCUUAAUUAUUUUUGGAUUAUUUGUAAUCAUAAUUAAUUAAUAAUCAGG